rnacentral:lncRNA from 1 species
AAUACCUUACAGAUCAGCUUGUUGUAGUAAAGAAGAAUGCUGAACUUAGCACCUUUGUAACUUUCCAGUUAUCACAGCAGAGAAGAAUGCUGAACUUUGCACAUUUGUAUCUUUCCACUUAUCACUGUACAAUAAAGUUGAUGAUUUGAUUGAUUGAAAUGUCAGUCUGUUUAUUGUGCAUACGCGAGCAAUAUCAGGUAACCGCGCGCAGCUGAAAGUGGGAUCAAAAAUAGACCAUGACGCAGAGUUUUUUACUUGUGCGCAGACGCGCAUUUUUUUAUCACAACUUGUGCCGUGGCAUUUAAAACAAAUCCUUCACGAAAAGAAACCAUUUCGGUUGAAAUCCUGUUGGUGUACGAAAACACGACAAGCAACUGAUUCCAACAUGAGCGGGAAUGGUGACGGUGACGAUCCAAAAUACGAUGAGAGCUGCGAGACAAAAAGGAUUGGGCAAAAUAACAAGGAAGAAGCGGAAUUAGCCAUCCCCUAUCUGCCGAACCAAGACUUCGUCGUAACCACAUCUGGAUAUCGUGUUUUGAACCAAGUUGAUGUUGACCGGCGAUGAAUUACGCAUCAGCAGUUUACAAGAAGAUGAAUUUAUCACAAGCGCCUUUAAAGAAACAACAUUUGACAUGAAGCUUAGCUAGCGUGUUAAACUGUAAUUGCUAUUUCGAUGUAAUUGGAGUUCCAUAUUGUCUUGGUUAAAAAUGAAGUAAUAAAGGAAAUCUUUUAAGCGCUCAACUUUGUGCGUCGUCGUAGAUAACGCGCGCUCCAUAUAAAAUGCAAAACGCCCCUAUAUUACAGCAUGAUCAAAGUACGUUUUCUCCUUCCUGUUAUCCAACCGAAGCACUUCUUAAAAUAGCGCACUAGUCGUGCUGACAGCUUGAGUGUCUCGUAUGCAAAGAAGCUACAAUGAUUAUUUUGACUAGACACAUUGCCAUCACAUACGACUAAGUCAUUGUUAUUUUCGCACAGGCCGCUUUUAACGAUGACAGCUCGCUUGGUUCAUGGUUAAGUUAUGGGCGCAAGUAACAAAAGCGGGAGAAGGACGUGUAUAAGAACGUGUUCGAGAAUACACGCGCGUCAAACUGAGGCCCUGCGCAUGAGCCUUGUCAACUUCCAACUACGCGUUGCAUAUUGCACCAUCACGCAGUCAACACUGAGUAAUUUUAAACGAGUGCUGAUUCCAAAAUGAGUUGGUAUCAACAUGACGAGCCGGAUGUUUCUCCUCAUUGCGAAGCAGUAAGGAUAGGGAGAGAUGGCAAGAGUGCCGAAGUGACAAUCUUCUACACACCAGAAGGAGAAUUCGAAGUUCACAACGGGUACUUAGUAGAGAAGAAAUCACGAACAAAUUUGGGGAGAUCAUUUGACCAACUGAAAAUAGUUACUUCAAGAGGAAAACAAAUACUGGUUCGACGAUAUGACGACUUAGGAGAAUUCGAGAUCAUGUCGGAUGGAUACUGGUUGAAGCAAGAGGACGUUGAACUUUGAGAACACGGUAUCAAGGAGAACUGCACUGAGGGAAUUGACCUGUUUAUUUAGUUUGCAAUGAACGUAAGCAUUACACGGAAGGAUUGAAUUUAUCGCAAACGCCCUCAAGGAAGCAGAGAAUUAAAACGUAGAUCCAAGCUUGUGUUUUGUUAUCGCUAUCUCAACGUAGUAAGAGUCCAAGACUGCCUUGUGUAGUUAAUGUAAUAAAGGAAAUGAUUUUCUUCUAAACUUUGUGUCGUAAAUAAAGCGCGCUCUGUCCGAAAUGCAAAACAACGCCACAAUAAUGCAGUGUGAUCAAAAUACGUUCUCUCCUUACUGUUAUUCCGACCGAAGCACUUCUUAAAAUAGCGCGUUAGUCAUGCUAAAAGCUUAAGUGUCUCGCGUGCCAACAGUUUUGACUAGGCAUAUUUCCAUCACAUACGACUUAAUCCUUGCUAUUUUCGCACAGGCUACUUUUAGCGAUGACACUCGCUUAGAUUAUGUCUAAGUUGUGCGCGCAAGUAAUAUGCUCAAAAUUCAGAGCACAAAAUAAUACACUGAACGUGCGCGCGUACCCCGCGAGGAGACUCGCGAGAGAAUGACACGCAAAAUAAACCAAACAUUCUGUCGACGAGUUAAUACGUAAAUUCUUAUUUACCAAAGUAUUUCACAAUUAUGGUCGAGAUUUCUGGCCAUGGAACCACCUGAGCCUGAUCAUAAAUUCGUUGAAAUCGUUAAAGUUGGCAGAGAUUACCACUGGUCUUCAGAUGUAACAAUAUACUACAAAUCGGAAACCAGGAGUGAGUCGACAUUUUCUCCCCGGUUACGAGCAGUAGACCGUUGAAAUCAACGUAGUUUCGUUUUGUUUCGAUCGUUUUAGAGUUUAAAGUUGAAGGCGGAUGCAAGCUAAGGAAAAUUCCACGGCGGACUAUCGACAAGUGUGGAUUUCAAUGGCUAACGAACGCCACACUUUUAAAGUCACGCGAUUUAAAACCGGAGUCUACUGGGUCGAUGAAGGAUACUGGAUAUCUGGACCUAAACUAGUUCAUUUUUAAAGCAAGCUAGUGUCGAGCCGCUAAAUAAAAUGCUUCCAGGUAAGGUUAGAAUGUUUUUCAUCAACGAUAUCCGAGGUAGGCCGACGUAAAUGAUAAAGAAAGAUCAGGUGUGAUUAAAACUAAAUUCUCAUUUCCCCUCUGGUCUCAUUUGUCAUAUAUUGAAAUGUGUUUUGACAGUUGGUGCUGCGCAGCGCAAAUAUAAAAACAUACUCGAGACCACGCGCGCGUCAAAGUGAAGCCAUACACAUCUGCUAUUUCCGUCGCCAAUCACGCGUUGCGUAUCAUUGUAUUGCACCAUCACUCGCUCAACACCCUGAAUAAAUUGAGACGAACACUGCUAUUCCCGCCGACUAGAGACUCGCUAACAGGCGUGAUAAGUCAGUUUUUCACUAAUUCGACACUUUUCAAGCUAAAAUGAGUUGGUUUCAGACGCGAGAUGCAACGAAUUCUUUUCGCGAGACGGUUCAAGUCGGAAUAGAGGGCAGUUUUUACCACGAAGUGACGAUCUACUACUACAAUCGAGGGCGAGGAGAGUUUGAAGUCACAGAUGGAGGCAGGAUUCUGCGGGACCAAAGAGACGGAAGAGAUCGAAGACUGAGUGUUCAAACUAAAUACGGGAAUAAAUUUCAAAUCACCCGUCUUCAUAGAGGAGGAUACUAUUUCAACACUUACGGAUUCUGGAAAAAGGAACUGGGACGUACAUACGACUAUUAAACCCCAAGACCUUUCUGACGAGGACAAGAGCCUAUUCCUGGGAGUGAUGAUUUAGUAUAAGACCCUCAUAUAACGAUUGUUUUAUUGUGAACACAGUUUAUAGGUAAUAAAGUUUUUUCUCUUACAAAGGAGAGAAUUGUGUGGCGUUCUUGUUUAUUCUUAUGCUGUCACAUAAUUCCCUCACGUCACAGGGAGCAGCUAAAAAUAAUCGAUUACCAGACACAUGAAAAUGCGCAACUCAGCAUAACGUACGGCGGAAACGCGCGAGUAUAAUUGAACUGAAGCAGCAGAGCAGACCAACUGAGACCGACAAUAUCGAUGAAUAAAAAUUGUUACUUCGAAGGCUUAAGUGACAGACGUCAAACGAGACAAUGUCAACGGAAAAAAGAGGAUUCUGUAUGACCCUGGCAACAUCGGAAAUGAUCACAGUAUAACCCUACUUAACCGUCAUUUGUGUUAGUAUUAUGUAAUGUAAAACAGACAUUAAGAAAGCGCGCACAAGUCCUGUACACGUGCCGUUUCAGCAGCCAAUCACGCGUUGCGUAUUAAUGUAUACACAAUCAUGAGCUCAACAGUCUGCGUGAGAUUUCUACCGAGUACCGUCAUUCCCGCGGACUGCAGUCUCGAUAACAGGCGUGAAAAUUCAACUUUUCGCUGUAAUUCAACCCUUCUAAAACUAAUAUGACUUCGCCAUAUCAACCACCGGAUCCAUUUAACUCAUUUUACGAGGCGGUUCAGGUCGGAAGAAAUGGUAACGUUAACCACGAUGUCACAAUCUAUUACACCGUCUACAAUCGAGGAAGAGGAGAUUUCAGUGUCACAGACGGAGGAAAGAUAAUCUGGGAAGAGCCAGACGGAACAAAUCGAAAACUUAGAGUUGAGACUAGACAAGGAGUAAGAUUUAGUAUCACUCGUCGUCGCGGAAAAGGAGGAUACUAUUUAAACACUAGUGGAUUCUGGAUAAACGAAUUGGGACGUACAUACUCCUAACCCAAAGAUCUCUCUGACGAGGACAAGAGCCUAUUACAAUUUAUGAUUUAAUAAUAUAAGACCCUAAUAUAACGAUUUUUAUUGUGAAAGCAUUUCAUAAGUAAUAAAGUUUUUUCUGCUACAAAAUAGAGAAUUGUGUGGCGUGUUUUUUUUUAACCCAAUGUUGUCACAAAAUCUCUCUUACAUCAUGGGAAGAAGCUAAAAAUAAUUGAUUACCAAACAUAUGAAAUGCACAAAUUAGCAUAAGCCUCGGCGCGCAUGUUUACAACCACACACGCGCAAGUACAAUUGAACUGACACACCGGAGCGUCAAACGAAUCGAGGAACUCGACUAUAAAAGAGCUUUUCAACAUUAGACGGCGGAUAAAAUGGGUGACGGAUACAACCCAGAUGAACCAAACGCGCGUAAAUUUUGCGAAGUGAUCCAGAUCGGAAUUGAAGAUGAUACCGCCGAAGUGACCAUCUUCUAUACUCCAGAAAGAGAAUUCAAAAUCAGCGAUGGCUUCAAGGCUGAAGAUGAAGAAAGGCAUAAUUAUGGGCGACGAUAUCGACGAUUAAAAAUUGUUACUUCGAAGGCUAACGUGAUAGAAGUCAAACGAUAUAGUAACGGAGAAUACAACGUAGACGCCAACGGGAAACAAUAUUAUUUUGAUGGACGAAAAGUGGAAGUAUAAACAUUCUUCGCGGAGCGCUGCAAAAAAUCGGACAUCUGUAGAUUUAUUCACAACAAAAUGUUUCAAACUGUAGUGUGAAGUGAAUAAAGUUCGUAUUUUGAUGUGGAAAACUGGGUAUGUGUUAUUGUUUUGAACAGAUUUAUUGGCUCAAAACGCCUCCUUCCUAUGAUCGAAUUUCACUCCUUAGCACACUUGUUACUACUUAUUUUUAUUGUAUUCGCGAUUAGUAUUAUGAGAAACAGAACAUUGUAUAUUGUAUGGUUGCAAAUACUAUAGCCUUACCCGAGUCUACCAACUACAUCAGAAGCUGGCAAAAUGCGCAAAACCCACGCGCGCGUAAGCCGCGAAGGCGGGCUGCUUCGUGACCGACAUCACUGAUAAAACGCUAGUAGUAAAUCUUUGGCUUAAUCUAUAUUAGCGUUGCUUAGCUCGAGUUCGCUUUCUGUAAUGCAAAAUUUCCCACCAAAAUGUACAGCUUACAAACGAACGAUUUCGUAGCCAAGGCUAUGAAAUAGCCAAGAUGCACAGAGACAAUGGAGACCUUGCAGCUGCAAUUUACUUGAAGAAAAACGGAGGUCAAACGUAUUCGUGUACUUGCCAUCAACAGCAAAGCUUAGAAAAGCGUCAAUAACUGCCAAAAGGGAAUUACCCUUGCACUUUGUAAAGCGAGAUUUGAUGCGACGUCAAUAAAUUGAAAAUAAAACACUCAAAAGGCAUUAGUCUGUUCAAACUCUGUUCUCUCCCUUCCUCUUGCUCCGCCCACUGAACUUAAAUUAAGCUAUUCAAGGGUUACGGGCACGCGCGCGCGCGUUUAGAACAGAUAAACUAAAGAAAAGAUCAGACAAUCCAGGACAGAAGAAAAUGGGGCUUACGGCUGAGAUGAAAAGGACUUUUAGAAUAGCAAUCGACUUCUAAGAAUUCAAAUGCAAACAAGGAAAAAAGAAAACAAAUGUGGAGCUAAAAUAUGCGUUCGCGUCAAAGGGUGAUAUUAACUCUGCGUAAAAACAGAACUUUCGCGCGAGGCAAACCAGUCAUAGAAAAACACGCAACUAAAACGCGCGCGAUGAAGGGAAUUGACCUUCAUACAAUGUAUUAACAGUCAAUGCGUCUGCAUAACAAAGACUAAUUUGAAUAAAAGUUUGCUUAGCGAAGCAGUUUUGUCAAAUGAUAUUUAUAACGCGCAAACAAUUAUUCCCUCUAAAACGCUGUGAACCAAAUAUCUAAACGAUCCGAGCAAAAAUGUCAGGGACGGAAAAAGAGGAGCCUUACAACGACUUCCAAGAAAAAGUGAAAAUUGGCACUGAAUGUAUACAUCGCCAUGCCGAUGUAAUCGUAUCUUUCGACUCGCGGACAGGAGAUUUCACAGCCGAGAAGGGAAAAAUUGUCAAAAUAACUCCGCAGCGGAUAUCCCGAGACACAACAACUAAGUUAACAGUUGAAUCGGAUGGACAAUCUCGUUACGUUGUCAACCGAAAAACAGGAGGAGUCUACGAGGCUCAAAGCUGGUUUACUUGGGUAACCUUCAAGAGGACUGAAUUAAAUUGAGAUUACAGAUUGCUUCGGAGCACAGCGACCUAAGAAGUCUAGAGAUUGCUUAUCACGCAUUGUUUGAAACUGUAAUGAGAAAGAAUUAAAGUUUAUCAUUCUGUGUUGGAAACGUGUAUCAGUGUAAUAUAAAAGAUUAACUCAACUUUGAUUACGCUCCACAUCAAAGAGAUCCUUAGCAUAAACCCUUUCGCUUUACUGGUGCAAAAUAAAGAGGGACAGAAAUCUAUAACAAAUUUACGAAAUAAACGCGCGCGUGACAGGGACCGUUACGUUAACUGUCACAGGUCGUUCGAUAGACUAAGCUUUAUUCAUCUUCUCUCCACAAAACGGCCUAACAUGAAUCCUACCCACGUCUCCAAACGAACAGCUUUAAGAUUUUAAAGUUAUGUUUAAAAUCUUUGAGAUAUUCACGACAAUUUUAGCUCCAUAAAAAUUUUGGCUUGAUAAAACCAGUGUUCUCGUUCACACUUCAAGCGAGUCCUGGCAAGUUCUGGAAGAAAUUUUCAUGCGUUGCCUGUGGGAUUGUAGCAAUUCUAACCACAUGAACGACGCCCAAUUUAAGAGCCAAUUUUCCGUGCACAAUUGACUUAUUGAAUAUACAUAACUGUACUGAAUUCGAUGGCGCAGCUUUGUUAGCUGCAUGCGAUAAUUAUAAUUCGUUGAACUUCUACGCUGUAUUGAGUUAUGAUUUCAACCAACCCUUGUGACUACUGACGUACUCGUGGCAUAAAUAUUGCCGCCCGCAAGAGGAGCUUGGGAUACAUGACAUCACUUACAUAUGACAUCACUUGUACAUAAAGUGCCGACUCGUAAAACUAUUGUGACACAUCUAUAUCGAAAGUCAUCGAGCUCGAACCCGGCAAUUUUAAAUAUAGACUUUUGGCUAAAAUGAGUCUGUAUCAGACUACUGAUUUUAGUAACAGUUGCGAGGUAUUGAAACUAUACAGAACAGUAUAUGAGCCUUAUCAACAUGAGGCGACGAUAUUCCGAAAGCCAAACGGAGAGUUUGAAGUUCACGGAGCUUGCUUGGUGAGUGAUGAACGAAACCAAGUUUGGAAUGGAGGACGAAUUCGAUACGAUAGAAGACUUAAAAUCGUAACAACUUCGUACAAUGUGGUGGAGUUCGAGCGCCGUGGGACAGGAGAAUACCGAACGAUCACCGCUGGAUAUUUUUUAAGUGACCCAAAUUUUGUACCGGUUUGAACGAGUUCGACGAAGGUGAAGGAAAACUCAAGGCAUGUAACCACAAGACCAUUAGUGAAGAAAAACGUGCUGUAAUAGUGAUAUUCACCAAUAAACGUUCUUUUCACAUGUUAUGUGUUUAUGUCUAUUCAUUCUACUUUGCGCGCGCAAAAAUACUGCUUACCGCUCUGAAAAAUAAAACUACAGAAGAAAUAUAAGUACAAUGUUAUCGCCGAGAUCAUACGGAAAAAUCGAGAAAUCCAAGCAUUUCUUUGCGACUGAUAUACUUUGUUACAGAGAUAUGAUGCAAUGUCUAGAGCUAAACAUGCUUAUCGCGAGGCACAAAUUGCUUUCUCUGCCUACCGCCGCCCCCGUCUUCUAACUCGUGUGGAAACUAAUUGAAUUCACAGUUCGUAAGAGAGACAGGCAUAAUUACAGAUGCGCUUCCAAAGAGCGACCCAAGGGCAAAGAUUUGACUUUUGAUAUGCUAAGGUGGAUAAACUUCUUAGCUUUCCUUGUAUCUGAAAAAACAAAUGUGGAGCUAAAAUAUUCGUUCCCGUCUAAGGGACUGAAAUUAACUGUGAGGAAAUACAUAAACAAACGCACAGCCAGGAGUCGUACGAGAAUGAAACGUGCGCGCGAGAGGGCGCGCGAAUCUAUAACAAGCACACCCACGACUAACACGCACGCGUGAGUGAGAGAAAAUAACAUUGCGAGAAUUCUAUUGAUAGUCACUGUGCGUCUGCACAGACAAAGACUCAAUUUGAAUAAACGUUUGCUUAGCGAAGCAGGUUUGUCGAAUAGUAUUUCCAGGGGGCAAACAGCUAUUCUCUCUCAAUUGCGUACAAAUACCUAAACAGUCUGAACAAAAAUGAAUUGCUUUCAAUCAGACGAGCCUAACAGCGACUUCUUUGAAGAAGUGGAGGUUGGAAGACGUUUCCAUCUAUGUCCCAAUGUUAAACUUACCUUCAACUCGAGGACUGGAGAUUUCGACGUGCUAUUUGGACGCAUUGACCAUAGAACUCCCUGGCAGAUAAACCGAAGGAGACCAACUAUUUUAACUCUCUCAGGCGGUGGACACACUUUUGUUGUCACUCGGCGUCCAGGAGGAGUCUACGACACCAACACUUUUUGGACUUGGGUAACCGUUGAGAAGUAUCCAAUAAAAUGAGGCAAGAGGUCAAAACAAAGGACUCCGAAAAAGUCGCAACAAGGAAUUGUCUGCGAAUGGUCUCACAAACACUCUGGAAGUGCAACAAUUCGUCAAUUUUCCAGUUGUAAUUUUCCUCUUUCUAAUCUUCUUACAGAAUGCUUUGAAGUGCACUGAUGUAGGAAGUCUGCAGAUUAAUUACAACGCAACCUUAUCCAUAGCACUUUAGCAAGAAAGAAAUAAAGGUCAUGUUUUGUGCCUCGAAAAUUGUACCUAUGUAAUAUUUCAAAUAGAAUUACUGGCUUACGAUUAUAAUCUCGAAGAUUUUAGAACUUGAUGACGUCACGUGAAAACGAUCUUAGGACGAUGUGUUCAAGAUUGGUUUUCUCUUUUCCUCCUGCUCCGCCCACUGAGCUAAAAGAUAAAACUCACAGCCUCUGCUUACCAAAGACCUAAUUUGAAUAAACUUUUGUUUAGCGAAGCAGAUUUCCAGAAUAACAUUGCUCACGCGAAAACAACCAUUCGCUAUAAAGACGGAAACAUCUAUCUAAACGAUCUCGCGAAACAUGGCAGGUUUUGAAUCAUACGAUCCCAGAAACGAUUUCUUUGAAGAAGUCCAUCUAGGAAGGCGAUUCCCUCUGUGCUGUUCCAACGUCAUAUUAAAGUACGACUCAGCCACUGGAGGUUUCACGGCCCAGUCAGGACGAAUUAUCCAAAAAACGCCACAACGAACACAAAAGAACACACCAACUACAUUAACGGUGAAAGCUAAGGGAGGAUGCGAAUUCCACGUAACGCGAAACCCUAGAGGAGAAUACCGGGUCGACAAUUGUUGCACUUGGAUAACGGUUGAGAAAAUGUACAAGACUAAGUAUUAAGCAUGUCAAAGAAAGCUUGGACGUCUAUAGAAUGCUCAUAGCAUGCUGCAGUGUUACGUCAAUAAAGAUCACAUUUUCUGUGCA